CAAAAAAUAUUUAAUUUCAAAAGGCUGGUUUUGGGACCCGGGGGGGGGGUUAAAAAUCUCCCUUUUUUGA
rnacentral:tRNA from 1 species